rnacentral:rRNA from 1 species
CCUACGGGAGGCAGCAGUGGGGAAUAUUGCACAAUGGGGGAAACCCUGAUGCAGCAACGCCGCGUGAGUGAAGAAGUAUUUCGGUAUGUAAAGCUCUAUCAGCAGGGAAGAAGAAAGACGGUACCUGACUAAGAAGCCCCGGCUAACUACGUGCCAGCAGCCGCGGUAAU